UCUUUUCCCUACCACUAAUCUUUUUCCCUACCACUACUCCUACCUCUCCACCACACUACUCCUUUUUCCCCACCACUACAUUCUUUCUCCCACUCUCACAACUUUUCUCCCACCAUUAUCACACUCCAUAGAAGCCUUUGAAGCCCCAAGAGAAGUAGCAAAGCAAGGGAGAGUGUGGGAAAACUAUAGAGUGAAGGUUGUGCUUCGAGGGUCCGGGCGACAGAAAGUGAAGCCGAAGAAGAAACGACUCCACGCCAGCUUUAAGAACAAUUGAGGUUGAGCAGGCGAUGGAAUGGAUCGGUGUUGAGCGGAUUUCCCUUUUGAUGUUUAUGUAAUGAAACCUUGAGUAUGCAUCUCCAUAUGCAUAACUCACACGUUUUUUUCGCUGCAAACACUCUGACUUAUUUAUCAUUUCUACUUGAACUUAUUACUACUUCAUUUUAAUUAACUUUCAGUUGGGGUCUAGUCGUUAUGGCAGACUCAUUUGUGAAUUACCCAAGUGGUUAUAUAUAUAUACCACUAGUUUGUUAUUAA